ensembl:lncRNA
CUUUUUGCAACGUCAGGGGUGAAGGAAAGUACUAUCCAGCCACUUCUGCAUGCAUAAGUUCCCAGCUGCCCAUGAUUGACUAGCCUCACUGUGAUUGAACAGGGACAGAGAGCACCCUGAGUCCACGGCCAAUUUUGCUCUCUCUUGGAUUCCCGGCCAUGGAUGGCUGUGGCAUCGUCGGGAUUCGAACUCGCGAUCUCCAGACAAUAAGGAUAUCAAGAUGCAGCCAAGGAGAAGGGUAACACCCCUGUUAUUCUGGAGAUGGUGUUCUCUUGGCAGCAUACAAUCCUCUGACAUGCUCUGAAACAUCUCAUCGCUGAGUGUGAAAAUCAACAAGUCUGAGGCCAUGAUUCUCCAGAAAAGAGUUGGAUGCUCCCUUAAGAUGUUUUCCCCGAGGAAAAACAAAAGUGUUUUUACCCGAGUCUGCACUGGGAUUGCCAUUUACAAUCGUAGCAUGCUGAGUUUGGUUCCAAAUGACUCCUAUGUGCCAUUCAGGCACUCAACCUUCAUCUAAAAGAGUCGUUUCAGAGAGUUGACUCAUUCACGAACAGCACAUCGCCCAAGGCUAUUCCGGGAUUGUCAGUUGCACUCUUAGCAAGCUGUGUUUGGUUUCUUUUGUAUUUUCUAUUUCAUUUAAAUCGUAUUUCAUCCAAUGUUUCUGUUAUUCAAGUUGAGAAAACCACAUAAAGAACAAAGCAGAACACCAAGAAACACGUACAUGAUGAAAUGGAACGUUGGAAUACUCCCCAAUGCAUCUGGCCAAAAUGACAGAGACGAUAAAAAUCAACUAAAAAAUGUUUAAAAAACAUAUUUUCUAAUCAGUUGCUAUAGUAAAUAAUUACAUUCAGAUUGCUACACAUCUUAUUUUGCCUGUACAGCUGUUCAGAUGACUGUUUUUUAAUCUACCCUAAUCGAGAAGUUUUCAAUUUCAGGCACAUAACUACUUUCUAUUUUCCUUUUUUCCCUCAGUUUUUGGUUAAGGCACUACAAACUGGUCUACCCUAUCCAGGGGUAGGCAAGUACCACACCUUAUUCAUGUACCCAUGCCCUGCAACAUGCUACUGCUUGGCAUGUCAUUGAAAAAACAAACAAACAAACAAACAAACAAAAAUGUUCUUUUGCAUCACAGUACUUCAUAAACCUCAAACCGCAGUAAACAUGACUCACAACUUUACACAUGAGGUACAACUUUGAUAAGAAAAAAAGCUACUGCUAGGAGUUAUUAAAGUCAACAUUGUCUAAAUGAGCUUUUAAGAAGUUUCAUUAAAUUGCUUUUAAAGUACA